GAGGUGCGCCUUUAAUAACUAUGCUUGUAUCUCUUGUUCAGCUAAUGCAAGUGAUCAAGUUUGUGUGCCAUUCUUUAGAAUGUGACAAAAAUCUGUUGUUUCAAUUUCCUUGAUAAGUUCUAGUUUUUACCAUGCCAAUGAUACUGAAGGACCUUGUGGAGGGAGAUGCUUGGUCGAGAAAUGGACACAAUUCAACUAAACCUUAAUUUCAAUCUUAUUGCCACCUAUCUGGAUGCUUUUUCUUUAUUCCACUUGAUUAUUUUUGUAAUUAUUUCUUAUAACUACAAUAGCAGGUAAAAAUGCUAGUUCUGA
rnacentral:misc_RNA from 1 species